CUGACACUUUUCUUUCUUGUAAUUGAUACUCUUCUGUUGAAUAUUUACUUCAUAAAGAUGGUUUAGUGUCUUCGAAAAAGUCCGUUAGCAUCUCAACUGUUUUCAGACAAUAUAUGCUAACUCUGUAUUUUGAGCUUUGAUUGAUCAAAGUUUUGACUUUUCAUCACAUAUUUAUGUGUAGUUGGGAGAUUUUGAGAACUUUGUAAAGGUUUUGUCAAUGGGUUAUUGGAAUUAGAUUAAUUUAUUUAGCCUAAAAUAUGUGCUGUAACUUUACUGUUAAUUGGUGACAUCACUUAAAGGAGCAUGUAUUAACUGAAUCUAGUUAAAACGUGAUUUGAUAUUUAAUGGCAAACAAUUAUUGAUAAAAAUUGUUCUGUGGUUUCAGGAGUAACACUUCUACAACAGAAGAGAAGCUCCAAGAUAUCAAAAUUUCUGAAGGAAGCUGCUGACAGAGAUGUGGGAAACAUAGGGUGUGGCCAAAGGUUUCAUUGGUGCUUUGUCAUCACUGCAAGAUUUCAGAUGCAACCCAGUCAGUUCUUCCAAGACACCAAACACCAGACCGCUCCACUGCAACUACAUACUGUGUGUACCUUCAAGACUAGGAGUUUAUUGUUUUCAUUCCAGGUCACCAUAGCCACCCAGAUCCAGUCAGUAUCCAGAUCAGAUGGUGGAUCAGCACCUAGAGAUGACCUCUACAGCCCUGAAUGUCAGCGGAGACCAUGUCAGCUAGAUGAGCUCCAGAGACAGAUCCCCAGUGAAGACCUCUUUGGCCAUCAGGACUAGACCACGAGAACCAAACAAGUCCUCUGCUUAAUCUGACCUGUGCAGGAAUUAAACCAUGCCAUGCUGGUUUCGUCUGGCCAGAGGAGAACUGCCCCUCGACUGAGCCUGGUUUCUCCCAAGGUUUUCUACUCAGUUUCUGUCACCGAUGGAGUUUUGAGUCCUUGCUGCUGUCGCCUUUGGCUUGCUUAUUUCGGGACUUGCUUAUUUGCAUAGACACUAUUGGAAAAGAGCUGAACUGAAUGAUGAUUUCAUUGAACCAUCAAUGAACUGACUUUAACUGGAAAAAUGACUUGUUAAUGUCCUCUUGCAUUAUUAACAAACUAUUUUCCUGUUUGACUGUAAAGCUGCUUUGACACGAUCAGUAUUGUAUAAAGUGCAUUAUAAAUAAAGGUGACUUGACUUGAUUUUAUAAACUGUAACACCUGGUUCAUUAUUUUUUUUUGACUCCUGCCUCAUUUUAAAGAUGUAAUUGUGAACAGUAGUAAUAUUUGUAAAUGUUUGUCAGCUGGAGCUUUAAAGGCACCCAAAAACGAAAAUUUGCUGUUAAUUUACUGACCCUUAGGCCAUCCGAGAUGUAGGUGACUUUUUUUCUUUAAGCCUGUAUGUUUAGUCUGUAUGACAAAUGUUAUUAAUGGAGAUUGUUAUUAAAUAAUGGCUAUUAUGUGUUGUAAAUUGUGUGUUUUUAGUGAUUGAUAAACACCAGUUAAUCAUUUUGAAUAUUUUUGUUAAAUUAUAAAAAUAUAUGUUUUAGUUC